rnacentral:misc_RNA from 1 species
ACGCAAAAUUCACAGCUGCCAUGGCAAAAGCAUCUCUACGAGGUUAGCCCUUGCGGCUCGACCCAGGAAAUAUGUGGAUAAGCCAUCUUGACACGGUAGACUGGAGAACAAAAUUAGCCGAUCUUGGGUGCAGCGAGUGUGGAGUAAUCUGAAGGGUUCCCUUUGUGGUCCCGUAUGGCGCUUGGUGCAAUGAUCGACGAGACAUUCCGAGCAGACGAGCUUAUCGAGUCUGCGAUCACAUCUUGAGCGUAGCGAGAGGUGUGAUAUUCUAUAGAUGCCGACUGGUAGUAUUGAGUGAACUUCCUAGAGAGCCUAGAGUCUCAGAAAUCCUCACUUAGAGACAACUCAGAAAAGUUCUAAUUACGUGCUGAGAAUAUCCGCCCAUAGAAAUCUGACUGU